rnacentral:lncRNA from 1 species
GAGGAUUCCUGCUGUGUUUCUGACUGCUUUCAAAUUUCCUCUCUUCUUCUUUCCCCACAUCAGUAGCACAGCUGGCCUGGACCGCUUCUUGUGCAGCCGGAUAAGCCAUACACCACUCCGCGCAGCUGCCAUUUGAUCCUCAGCUUCUCCUCCUCCCUCCCUCUUAGUCUCCUGAAGGAAGUUCUGAUAUCAAAGCCCGUCAGCAUCCUCUCCCUAAGGGAGUAAGUAGAAGGGAGUGACGUGGAGAGAGGGGAAUGAGAGGAAUCAGCCAGUCUGGGAAAGGAAGAAGGCAGUGGCUAUUUUGAUCCUGUCACAGAUGUCUGCAUAGGACAGUGCCUCCAUUAUCAGCGAGUUCCGGGGACAUUCUCAGUCAUGAAGCAUCUCCUCUGGUGAUCUGCGAAACACGGGCAGGAGCAAGCCACAGAUGGUUUGAAAAGCAGAACAUAAGAAAACAAAAGCUUCAGAAGACUGGCGUCAUGGUAGGACGUAAACCCAACAGAAGAGAAAAUGCCCUGAAGCUACAAUUAGAGGUUCAAACAGGGCUCGGCGUG